AAGAAGCUGAAGAGGAAUAUGUUGAACUUGAUCUAGCUGACUCUACAGAUAGUUCUGUCCUUGUCAAUGGGAAUGAGGUUUUAACUCCACAUCAAUAGCAAUUUGACAGGACAGGAAUCAGUUUUAGUUCUAUCACACUGGAUAAGGUUGUAGAAGGAAACUGUGCGCGUUGCCUUCUUCCUUGCGAUCCCUGGGCUUCAGAAAUGCUGACCUUAACAAAGUCUUCAUGACAUCUCAUCAACAAAUGUCGAGUAUAAGCAUAUUUAUGAUAUAUCACAAAUCCGCAAGUUUGCUUGUACACUAGAUAGAUUCUUGGUCUUCCCAGCCAUCAUUUUUCUGCAUGGUCUAUCAGACAGACUUAUUCAGCUGUUGUAUUCAAUUAUACACUUACAAAGGUCUAUUAUUUCUUCUGUAAAAGAAAUGUAUUUGAAUUCAAUAUAAGUUGGGGUUUUCCA